rnacentral:piRNA from 1 species
AACAAGAUUCGGUGCCAAUCUCCCC